CGCUGGCGGCGUGCUAACACAUGCAAGUCGAACGGGGCGAAGAGGAGCUUGCUCUUCCUAGCCUAGUGGCAAACGGGUGAGUAACGCGUAGGCAACCUGCCCUUCAGAUGGGGACAACAUUUCGAAAGGAAUGCUAAUACCGAAUGAUGUGCAUUGGUCGCAUGACCGAUGUACCAAAGGCCGGGCAACCGGUCACUGAAGGAUGGGCCUGCGUCUGAUUAGCUAGUUGGUGGGGUAACGGCUCACCAAGGCGACGAUCAGUAGCCGGUCUGAGAGGAUGAACGGCCACAUUGGGACUGAGACACGGCCCAAACUCCUACGGGAGGCAGCAGUGGGGAAUCUUCCGCAAUGGGCGCAAGCCUGACGGAGCAACGCCGCGUGAGUGAAGAAAAGGUUUUCGGAUCGUAAAGCUCUGUUGUCAGGGACGAGAGACUUGAUCAGGAAAUGGGUCAAGGAGGACGGUACCUGACGAGAAAGCCACGGCUAACUACGUGCCAGCCGCUGC
rnacentral:rRNA from 1 species